CCUACGGGAUGCAGCAGUGAGGAAUAUUGGUCAAUGGGCGCUAGCCUGAACCAGCCAAGUCGCGUGAAGGAUGAAUGCUCUAUGGAUUGUAAACCUCUUUUAUAUGGGAAUAAAGUGCAGGAUGUAUACUGCUUUUCAUGUACCUUAUGAAUAAGGAUCGGCUAACUCCGUGCCAGCAGCCGCGGUAAUACGGAGGAUCCGAGCGUUAUCCGGAUUUAUUGGGUUUAAAGGGUGCGUAGGCGGGUUGUUAAGUCAGUUGUGAAAGUUUGUGGCUCAACCGUAAAAUUGCAGUUGAUACUGGCAGCCUUGAGUACAGUAGAGGUAGGAGGAAUGCGUGGUGUAGCGGUGAAAUGCUUAGAUAUCACGAAGAACCCCGAUUGCGAAGGCAGCCUGCUGGACUGUAACUGACGCUGAUGCUCGAAAGUGUGGGGAUCAAACAGGAUUAGAUACCCUGGUAGUC
rnacentral:rRNA from 1 species